GGCCCCUAAUUCCUAAACUGUUGGGACCAAAACUCCCAAAAUCAAUCCCAACCUUCCUUUUGUGGUUAUAAACCUUGUGUUAAAAUUUCAUAUAUUUCUAUUUACUUAUACUAAAGUUAUUGUGCAAAAUCCAAGAAAAAUGCUUAUUUGGGACCUUUUUUUGGCCCCUAAUUCCUAAACUGUUGAGACCAAAACUCCCAAAAUCAAUCCCAACCUUCCUUUUAUGGUCAUAAACCUUGUGUUUAAAUUUCAUAGAUUUCUAUUUACUUUUACUUAAGUUAUAGUGCGAAAACCAAAUGUCUUCGGACGACGACGACGCCGCCAACGUGAUAC
rnacentral:lncRNA from 1 species